rnacentral:rRNA from 1 species
CACCGGCGGCUCGAGUGGUGGCCACUUUUAUUGGGUCUAAAGCGUCCGUAGCCGGCUUGGCAAGUCCCCUGGGAAAUCUGGCGGCUUAACCGUCAGGCGUCCAGAGGAUACUGCCAGGCUUGGGACCGGGAGAGGUGAGAGGUACCUCAGGGGUAGGGGUGAAAUCUUGUGAUCCCUGAGGGACCACCAGUGGCGAAGGCGUCUCACUAGAACGGGUCCGACGGUCAGGAACGAAAGCUGGGGGCACGAACCGG